rnacentral:sRNA from 1 species
CGUGCACGGCUGAGGCCAUUCCAUCGCAAAGCCUGAAGAGGGCCGCCCUGUCCGGGGCGGCCCUUUUUUGUUACGAUU